rnacentral:rRNA from 1 species
GGAUCCAGACUUUGAUUAUGGCUCAGGAUGAACGCUAGCGACAGGCCUAACACAUGCAAGUCGAGGGGUAACAGGGGAGCUUGCUUCCGCUGACGACCGGCGCACGGGUGCGUAACGCGUAUGCAACUUACCUUUUACAGAGGGAUAGCCCGAAGAAAUUCGGAUUAAUACCUCAUGGUAUUCUGAGUUCGCAUGAACUUAGACUUAAAGAUUUAUCGGUAAAAGAUGGGCAUGCCGUAGCAUUAGCUAGUUGGUGAGGUAACGGCUCACCAAGGCAACGAUGCUUAGGGGUUCUGAGAGGAUAGUCCCCCACACUGGUACUGAGACACGGACCAGACUCCUACGGGAGGCAGCAGUGAGGAAUAUUGGUCAAUGGGCGAGAGCCUGAACCAGCCAUGUCGCGUGCAGGAUGACGGCCCUACGGGUUGUAAACUGCUUUUUUACGGGAAUAAACCAUUCUACGUGUAGAGUGCUGAAUGUACCGUAUGAAUAAGGAUCGGCUAACUCCGUGCCAGC